GACGAACGCUGGCGGCGUGCUUAACACAUGCAAGUCGAACGGAAAGGCCCUGCUUUUGUGGGGUGCUCGAGUGGCGAACGGGUGAGUAACACGUGAGUAACCUGCCCUUGACUUUGGGAUAACUUCAGGAAGCUGGGGCUAAUACCGGAUAGGAGCUCCUGCUGCAUGGUGGGGGUUGGAAAGUUUCGGCGGUUGGGGAUGGACUCGCGGCUUAUCAGCUUGUUGGUGGGGUAGUGGCUUGCCAAGGCUUUGACGGGUAGCCGGCCUGAGAGGGUGACCGGCCACAUUGGGACUGAGAUACGGCCCAGACUCCUACGGGAGGCAGCAGUGGGGAAUAUUGCACAAUGGGCGGAAGCCUGAUGCAGCAACGCCGCGUGCGGGAUGACGGCCUUCGGGUUGUAAACCGCUUUCGCCUGUGACGAAGCGUGAGUGACGGUAAUGGGUAAAGAAGCACCGGCUAACUACGUG
rnacentral:rRNA from 1 species